AAAUACAAAAAACUUAAACAAUGGAUAAUUUAUUUAUUUUUUCUUCAAAAUUUAAAUAUCCGAACCUGACCCAAACUAUCUGAACCCGAACAUAAAAUGCCCGAACCCGACUCGAAGUGUAGAAAUACCUGAACGGGUUCUAUACUUUUAUACUGAAAUAUCCGAUACAAACCCGAAUGUGUAUCCGAACGCCCACCCCUAUGAUAUAUGAUCAUUUGUAUCUUGCUUGAACAAAAAAAAAGUUAAACCAUUGAUCACAAAAUUUUUAAUGUGGGACUUUUACCAUUUUUAGUAAUUUAUAGUCGUUUUUAAAAAUUCAAAAUCUUAUAUAUAUAUAUAAAGUAGGCUUGUGCUCUGCGCACAGCCUUCCACGUCACCAAAGAGGAUGGGGGCUAAUUACGCCACGUGGUCACUUAGUAAACAAUCCUCCAAAAGUUAUAUUUUCAUUUCGUUAUUCUAAUAGAUUUCUGGUUGCUCUUGGCCCGCACUGAAAAAUAAAGCAAGCCCACCACCAUCUAAUUCUAUUCGACGAGGAUGAGUCAUAUUCUCUUAUUUGUAUCAACAACGCUGCCUAACCGAUGUUGAAAACGUCUCUCCAGCUUCCAAGUGACUAAGUUACUUAUCGAUUCAAUUUCUCUCAGUAAUAUUGCAAAACAUGCCGUAGUAAAGCUGCUGCAAAGGUUCCAAAUAAACCACAAAGGCCAGCCAGUUCAUUCUUCGUUUUCAUUGAAGAUUCCCGUGAGACUUUCAAGAAAAAGCUUCCCAAGAACAAAUUCGUUGUUGCUGUGAGUGUCUCCUUAGGUUCAUCUUCAAAGGCAUACUAACUUUAAAUUUGUAUGGAUAAACAAGUUGGAAAAUCUUCUGGAGACAAGUGGAAAUUCUUAUAGAUGUUGUAUGUACUUUAUCUCAGUUUUAAUGUUCUAAACUAAAUAUGAUACUUGAAUUUCACAAUAAUUCUUGAGAAAGAACCUCAUGUUGCUAAGGCUAAAAAGCGCAAGGGUUGACUACGAGAAGAACCUGAAACCUUGCAACAAAAAAUUGAGGAAGAUGAGGAAUUAGACGAGUCAGUGCCAGAGGUUAAUGGUGGAGAUUACAAUGAGGAUGGAAGAGAGGAAGAGAACUAUGACUAAGAAGUUGAUCAGUUUGUAGCAUUAGUAUAAGAUGGCUGAAAAGAUAUCUCUGUCUGUAAUCUUAUCAAAUGUUUGUGGGGAUGAUUAAAAGAGGGCUGAAUAGGGUGCAAAAGCAAAAGACUACACUUACACAAAGCUCUUGAAGCAAGAGACAAUGCAGCUGAGAAAGCUCAGAGAAAUUUUGAAUAUUUAACAGAGUUAGGGAAGCAAACGGGAAACAUUGACUAAAAAGAAAUCAGCAGCGGCUGCCUUUCAAACAUAACCUACGACAGUGGUGUCAUCCCAUAUACUUCUUUCUGAUUUGAAGUGCGGUCGCUGUUCUGAAACUGUGGUCACGCGCCUGCUGCGUUUUUGGGAAACAAGAAACGUGAAGAAGGGGAGGGAGGGGAGCUAAUGGGGUUUUGACAUGCUCCUCCUUGAUGCAAAGGUUUGUCUCUUCUAAUUUCCUUGAUGAUAAAUACUAGAUCUUUCAGUUUCUUCUCAUAAACUGAUGAGCAGGUUUGUCUCCUAUAUUCCCUCAAUGAUAUCUUUUGGCGUCGAGCCUAAGGUGAUCGUAGCCACCAGCAUUAAUUCAAAAUUCGUCGGAGGCAGCUAUUUUAAAACAAGUUUACAGUUCCAUAGUGAUCUGUAACUAUCUUUGUCAAUCUUCCAGGCCGCCUCUUACUGAAUGCAACUUCUGGCACUCAUUUCUAUUUUCGACAAAGACAAACGCAAGUGAGAACUUAUCCGAUUUGGGUGUUGGUGAUGUGAACUGCUCCACAAGUUCCACCAACUAUGAAGGUGUGAAGAAAAUUGAAGUUGUGACGGUCUUUGAGCUUAACGCAUACGUGGUUAACUCGACCCCACAGGUUACCGAGUUUUGUGCACUGGAAAAAAGUGAGUUGAUUGAAAUGGGCAGUGGCUGGUGCUACAUACCCUGCUCUAAUGGGAUCUCUUCCUGCAUGUAGUGACUUAACCUCUGUUGGUGUUGUCAGAUAAGCAGACCAUUAACUACAUUUUGUGUACAUCGCACAAACCAUUUAAGCCAACCAACAUAUCCUGCUAAGACAUUUGCAACAUUUAAAACUUGAAGAUAUUGUGUGGAGCUGUGCAUUUCAGAUGGUACAGAGUCUGCAGUGUUUGUUGUUUUCUAUGCCAAAAUUUCAUGGUUGACUAAUGUGCGUGCGGCGGAAAUCAGUGAACUUAUGGGUGUUGGUGUGGGAGACUGUAGGGGCCGAGGUUCCACAAUUUCUGCAAAAUAUUGUUGGAAAAACGUUCACUUUCCAGUUGGAGCUAACUGAGUUAGCAUCAGACCUUCACUGUUUCACGUAUCUUUGACCGCAUCAGCGUCCCCUCACAGCAACAUUUGCGAUUCAUGGUGGGCACAACUAUCCUGAUGACGAUUUGCAUGGUGACGAUAUAAGUUUCCUGCAAUUGCUUAGAUGGUGACAAGACAAGUGCCACUGACCAGAACACUUGACGUAAUGACCUCCCCAUGAACCCUAGGGGUCCAUCUGCAGCAAAAGCAGCAAGUGAUGAGCUCAAUUCUGGCAGGAUCAUUGCAGAUGAACAACAGCUUCCAGGAGCUGGUUGCCCACUCAAGAAGGCUCGCACAGAGUAGUUACUCAAGUGAUCUACCUUAUAAUCCUUCUAUUUCUUACAAGCUUAAGUUCACAUUAUAUAUUUUUUUUACAUUACAUAAUUUUCUUUUAAUUUCUAUGCUCUCAGCUAAAUCAUUAAAUAAAACAUAUUAAUGGUAACUCUAACUCCAUACCAUGUCCUUCGAAUAUUUUUUUACUCAUGUCUACAUUUAAAUUUUAAAAA